GCGGGUAUGGCGAAAUUGGUAGACGCGUUAGACUUAGGAUCUAGUAGAUAGUAUCUGUGCAAGUUCAAGUCUUGCUACCCGC
rnacentral:tRNA from 1 species